AACGAACGCUGGCGGCAUGCCUAACACAUGCAAGUCGAACGAGACCUUCGGGCCUAGUGGCGCACGGGUGGGUAACGCGGGGGAACCUGCCCUUAGGUUCGGAAUAACUCCCCGAAAGGGGUGCUAAUACCGGAUAUUAUCUCGGGACCAAAGUUUUAGCGCCUGUGGAUGGGCCCGGGUUGGAUUAGCAAGUGGUUAGGGUAAAAGCCUACCAAGGCGACGUUCCAUAGCUGGUCUGAGAGGAUGAUCAGCCACACUGGGACUGAGACACGGCCCAGACUCCUACGGGAGGCAGCAGUGGGGAAUAUUGGACAAUGGGCGAAAGCCUGAUCCAGCAAUGCCGCGUGAGUGAUGAAGGCCUUAGGGUUGUAAAGCUCUUUUACCCGGGAUGAUAAUGACAGUACCGGGAGAAUAAGCUCCGGCUAACUCCGUG
rnacentral:rRNA from 1 species